rnacentral:rRNA from 1 species
UACGGAGGUGGCAAACGUUGUUCGGAUUUAUUGGGUGUAAAGGGUAUGUAGGCGGGCUUGUAAGUCGGAUGUGAAAUACUAUAGCUUAACUAUAGAGCUGCAUUCGAAACUGCUUGUCUUGAGUUUGGGAGAGGAAAGCGGAAUUCUCGGUGUAAGGGUGAAAUCUGUAGAUAUCGAGAGGAACACCAGUGGCGAAAGCGGCUUUCUGGACCAAAACUGACGCUGAAAUACGAAAGCUAGGGGAGCAAACAGG